AGAUUUUUCAUUUCAUCUUGUAUGGACUGAAGUAUUCAUUCUUUUCCUAGAAUAAAAUGCAUAUCUUUUCCGCUCUGAUUGCGGCCUCACAAGCAGCACAUACCAACGACUGCAAUUUCACAAAGACAACCAAGCAAUAACCUCAAACAAGGGUUUGUCGUACCUCAAUAACUACAGCGUUUCCUCCACAAAACGUCUCAAUUCCGAGGGUUUGCGCAGCAAGAACUCAGCUCCAGCAAAUCUACCAUCAGACACAACAGAUGUUCAAGAUAUUAGGGGAUCUGGAGAGCUAAUAUUUCUAGAGCAUAUCCAAGAAGCCUAAGAGAUAUUAACAAGAAGCACUGUCUGCCGAAAGAUCUCUACAUAGAAACACAAGCUAGGUUUCAUGAAAGAAUCAUAUACCUCAACAACCACAAAAUGUCUCGAAAUCAAAUCAUUUUCUCCAAGAAAUCCCUCGAUCCCCAGGGUUUCCGCGCCUCCGGCGAAUGCACUAGUCCGAUCUUUCAGCGAGGGAAUCAGCAAGAACAUGCAGAAGACAAGAAACCCGGAAAGAAGCCGAGAACUAGGGUUCUUGGAGCAUCUCCGAACUCGAAGGCGGGGAGAUUUAAAGGAGGGAAGGGAUGGAAGCAUCGGCAUUGUAAGAGACGAGAGAGGGGCCAUGGCGUCUCCUUAUUCCUUUUCUCGCUUUCCAGCCAAGGAAGAAUCUCGGCUGGCGCCAUUUCCUGCAUUCCCGAAGCGCUCCUCUUCGGAGAGAGGGAAGUUCUCUCGCUACCGACGAUAACCCGCACCCACACAUUAUUAAUAUGUAUGGUUCAUCGCCGGAGAGGAGGAAGGAGGAGAGGAACGGCCCGCUUGUUUUUUGUUGUAAAUUUGAGUUUUGACGAUGCGUAUACGCGUCGCCUUAGGCCACAAUCUACCACGACGCUAAUUAGCAUCGUCUAUGGCCGACGCUUUUAGAAAGCAUCGGCAUAUGUUGGGCCUGGACCGAAAAUCGC
rnacentral:lncRNA from 1 species